CAGUCGCCACGGUAAUACGUAGGUGGCAAGCGUUGUCCGGAAUUAUUGGGCGUAAAGGGCUCGCAGGCGGUUUCUUAAGUCUGAUGUGAAAGCCCCCGGCUCAACCGGGGAGGGUCAUUGGAAACUGGGAAACUUGAGUGCAGAAGAGGAGAGUGGAAUUCCACGUGUAGCGGUGAAAUGCGUAGAGAUGUGGAGGAACACCAGUGGCGAAGGCGACUCUCUGGUCUGUAACUGACGCUGAGGAGCGAGAGCGUGGGGAGCGAACAGGAUUAGAGACCCGCGUAGUCCCUGUCUCUUAUAC
rnacentral:rRNA from 1 species